ACUACUACUACUACUACUACUACUACUACUACUACUACUACUACUACUACUACUAAUACUACUACUACUACUACUACUACUACUACUAAUACUACUACUACUACUACUACUACUACUAAUACUAAUACUACUACUACUACUACUACUACUACUACUACUACUACUACUAAUACUACUACUACUACUACUACUACUACUACUACUACUAAUACUACUACUACUACUACUACUACUACUACUACUACUACUAAUAAUAAUAAUAAUAAUACAUUUUAUUUAUAAGUGCCUUUCAAGACACACAAGGACACUGUACAACAAUCAACAUUUAAAAAGCAACGAUGGAUAAAAUCAGCAUACAAUAAAAGAAAUGAAAUGUAGGACAGUGUAAUUACAGUUAAAAUCUCUGACAUCACUUCGUUAGAGUGCAAAAUUGAAUUUCCCCUCACGAUAAUAAUAAAGUAUAACUUCUUCUUCCUCUUCUUAAAUAUCACAUUUUUUCUCAGGGAUAAUAAUAUCCACAUUUUACAGCAUUUGUUUUUAUUGCAGUUUUCUGUACACACUCGUGAAAAAAUAAGCAAGCCAUGUACUGUAGCAUGGAUGUUGGAAUAACACAUGAGGUCACAGAUAGAUAGUUGGUUUUGUGCCUUUGAAACAAGUUUGUUAAAGUUGUGCUGUAGUUUUCAGAUAUUCUGUCAUAAGAAAGGUAAGGAACCGAACAGCUGGUUGUUUUUUCUAGUGAAUUGAUUUUAACUUGUUAAUGUACUGACACUUCAAAGAACAGAUAUAUAUCCGCCUACAGAGCAUGAUGUCUCAAUAAUAAUCAACCACAGUAAGUAGGAGAAGGUGUUCACCUAUACGUAAACUAUGAAGCGCGCCUUCAGUAAUGCGAGGGAAAUUGUCAAGGCAGAUGGUAAUGUUGAACUGAUACCAAAUGUUAAUUAUCGAUCCACGUUAUCGCAAACAUUCAAACCAGCAGUCGGUUUUGUGCUUCUGUUUGUAGUGGGCCACAACUAUCCCAUAAUCACCCCUUCAAUUUGAAAAGAUAAUCCACCUCAAAUCUUAAAUCAAUAUCUCAUCAGCGCUCCCUCACCAUCACAAGAGCCACACCGCACUGUAUGAUUACUCACUGAUGAGAUUAUCAUCAGUGGUUGGAGAAAUCCAAGAUGACAUCAAAUAGCAUUAAAAGAAUUGCAGUGAAGAGCAUCAAUAGCUCUCAGUAUCGUCUUAUACCAUGCAUACAUCACCAAGCAGCAUUUUAGUUUUCCUGUAGUUUUUGUAUGUGUUCAAUCGCAAGAUAGCGGCCAUUUUUGUAGAGUCAGCUGACACACUAUCUCAACCUCCUGCACUACCUGCAAGGUUUGGGUAAAUUAGUGAAGUCUUGAAAUAAAGAAAUCAGCGAGACUUCUAAAGUUUGGCUUUUGUCCCACAAAAAAAACACAGACUAAAAAAGUGGAAUGUAAUUCUUCUUUUUUUAUCCCAUCUUUGGAUCUGAACAACUUUUUGAAAUUUCAGGCACCGCCCUGUUUGAUGAACCGCGGCAGCAGCAACAUGUUGCCAGACAUCACUUCUGUCUUUUGUUUUUGACCCCCCACUGCUCAGGCCACUAACGAAAAUCUGCUUCCUACCCUCCAUCUUACCCACAAGCACCUUUAUCUUUUGGUCAGAAGCGUUCCUUUUCUUCAUCUUUUUCUCAGUUGAUUCACAUCAGCCCCAAUGUUAUGCUUAAAUAUCUAAAUGUAUGUGGUCAUUUGCAUUGAUGUUUUUAGGUUAAAUGUGGGCAUUUAAAGGGCUAAGGGGUAAGAUUAACUGCAGGUGAGUGUGUGUUAGGUUUUAUAACUUAGGUUUCUUUUUAUAUGCAGUUUUCAGUUUUGGUUAUACUUCACUGUCAGACCUUAUUUGGAUCCAACAUAGUGUUGUAAAAAUGACACCCCAUGUCCACCCCAUCCAAACUGCCAUACUCUGUACUUCUGUACUUUUUGGCAAAUGACUAGAAUUGUGUUUGUACAUUUUUUAACUUUGAGUGUGUUAAAGCGUUCACAUCUGCUGUGGCCCUCGGGGGACCCGCCUAUAGAGAUCGCUCCGAGCCAGUCCCUGACAGCUAUUUUUGAGGUGGACCUGAGACUUGCUGCUUUUUCUAGCCGGCAACACAUUUUUCACACUCCACUAAACACAUCGGGUUCUUCGGGUCUCAGAUAAACUCAUGUGUGAAAAUAGCCUCAAAUAAAGUGCAAAAGUGGAAAAUGAAAUAGAAUAGGCCAGCAGGGGCUUGGUGCAAUGGAUCCGACUAAUAUCCCCUCUGAAGAUAAAGUUUAUCUGCAUCUCUCAGCGGAUAAGAGAUGGAGGAUUGUAGAAAAGAUGACUCUAUUAAAGAGGAUGUUAGUCAGGUCAAGUGUUUUAAAUGAUUAAGCCUGAGAUUCCCCUGAGGCUCACUGCAUAUCUUCAUUAUAUGCACGAGGAUAUGUCGACUUAAAUACAGCAUGAAGAUCACUGAAAUGCACCU